UACGUAGGGUGCAAGCGUUAAUCGGAAUUACUGGGCGUAAAGCGUGCGCAGGCGGUUAUGUAAGACAGAUGUGAAAUGCCCGGGCUUAACCUGGGAACUGCAUUUGUGACUGCAUCGCUAGAGUACGGUAGAGGGGGAUGGAAUUCCGCGUGUAGCAGUGAAAUGCGUAGAUAUGCGGAGGAACACCGAUGGCGAAGGCAAUCCCCUGGACCUGUACUGACGCUCAUGCACGAAAGCGUGGGGAGCAACAGG
rnacentral:rRNA from 1 species